GAUGAAGAACGUAGCGAAAUGCGAUAAGUAAUGUGAAUUGCAGAAUUCAGUGAAUCAUCGAAUCUUUGAACGCACAUUGCGCCCGCCAGUAUUCUGGCGGGCAUGCCUGUUCGAGCGUCAUUACAACCCUCAGGCCCCCGGGCCUGGCGUUGGGGAUCGGCGGAAGCCCCCUGCGGGCACAACGCCGUCCCCCAAAUACUGUGGCGGUCCCGCCGCAGCUUCCAUUGCGUAGUAGCUAACACCUCGCAACUGGAGAGCGGCGCGGCCACGCCGUAAAACACCCAACUUCUGAAUGUUGACCUCGAAGCAGGUAGGAAUACCCGCUGAACUUAAGCAUAUCAAUAAGCGGAGGA
rnacentral:misc_RNA from 1 species